GUCGACGGUAGGUCUCUUCGGAGAUACACGAGUGGCGAACGGGUGCGUAACGCGUAUACAACUUACCCAAUAGAGGGGGAUAAUCUGGAGAAAUCGAGUUUAAUACCCCAUGGAUUCUUAAAUAGGCAUCUAUUAAAGAAUAAAGCUCCGGCGCUAUUGGAUGGGUAUGCGUGACAUUGGUUAGAUGGUGAGGUAAAGGCUCACCAUGACGAUGAUGUCUAGCUGGUCUGAGAGGAUGAUCAGCCACACGGGCACUGAGACACGGGCCCGACUCCUACGGGAGGCAGCAGUAAGGAAUAUUGGUCAAUGGGGGCAACCCUGAACCAGCCAUGCCGCGUGAAGGAAGACGGUUCUCUGAAUUGUAAACUUCUUUUGCUAGGGACUAACCAUGAGCUAUACGCUCAUCUGCAGGUACCUAGAGAAUAAGCACCGGCUAACUACGUGCCAGCAGCCGCGGUAAUACGUAGGGUGCAAGCGUUGUCCGGAUUUAUUGGGUUUAAAGGGUGCGCAGGCGGCUUGUUAAGUUAGUGGUGAAAUCGUCCCGCUCAACGGGAUACCCGCCAUUGAUACUGGCAAGCUUGAGUGUGACAGAGGAAUUUGGAAUGCGUGGUGUAGCGGUGAAAUGCAUAGAUAUCACGCAGAACACCUAUUGCGAAGGCAGAAUUCUAUGUCAUAACUGACGCUGAGGCACGAAAGCGUGGGUAGCGAACAGGAUUAGAUACCCUGGUAGUCCACG
rnacentral:rRNA from 1 species